CAUAAUGACAAAACUUUCGAGCGGUCGCCAUUUAAUUCCUCGGUUAAGGCGACUAAAAACUUGAACAUAGCUCGUUUUGACAGCUUUCAGAACUGACAGUUUGCUCAUAGUUGACUUAUGGAAACAGGACAAUGUGCUUUUGAUAUAUGAGGAUACUGUUCAGAAAGUGAGGGCACCUCUGGACUCUGCAUGAUGGGAAACUGUUGACAAAGAAGCCAAGAUUCAUUACAAGUUCAAGACCAGCAAAGGCAAUGCUUCUUUAACCAGGGACAAGAACUCAUCAGGAGGAUUUGAACCUUUUCAUGGAAGCACCAUUUGUAAAUCUCUUGAGUAAUGUUGGUUCUAAACCAAUGGUUGAAAACACCUGUUUUGAUCAGUACACUACUCACAAAAGAUUUUCACCUUGCACACAAAUCACCUGAAGAAGCUAUCAGAAGGAACAUCAGCCACCAAUGCUAUUGAUGUUUGAAUUCAAUUGUAUGACACAAUAGUAAACUU